ACCUGAUUGAUUUUGGUCGCCAACGAGUGGCGGACGGGUGAGUAACACGUAGGUAACCUGCCCAGAAGCGGGGGACAACAUUUGGAAACAGAUGCUAAUACCGCAUAACAACGUUGUUCGCAUGAACAACGCUUAAAAGAUGGCUUCUCGCUAUCACUUCUGGAUGGACCUGCGGUGCAUUAGCUUGUUGGUGGGGUAACGGCCUACCAAGGCGAUGAUGCAUAGCCGAGUUGAGAGACUGAUCGGCCACAAUGGGACUGAGACACGGCCCAUACUCCUACGGGAGGCAGCAGUAGGGAAUCUUCCACAAUGGGCGCAAGCCUGAUGGAGCAACACCGCGUGAGUGAAGAAGGGUUUCGGCUCGUAAAGCUCUGUUGUUAAAGAAGAACACGUAUGAGAGUAACUGUUCAUACGUUGACGGUAUUUAACCAGAAAGUCACGGCUAACUACGUGCCAGCAGCCGCGGUAAUACGUAGGUGGCAAGCGUUAUCCGGAUUUAUUGGGCGUAAAGAGAGUGCAGGCGGUUUUCUAAGUCUGAUGU
rnacentral:rRNA from 2 species